rnacentral:lncRNA from 1 species
CGGUUCCGGCAACUUGCGUCGAGCGUGGAAUGGGCGAUUGCAAGUUCGUGCGUGUGCGCGACCUCGGUCAGCUAUUGGCAGCCCCGUAGACUGGAAGUCUGGAACCGCCCCACUUCCCCCACUUCCGGUGUUUAAAUUCCUUCCGCGGCUAAAAAAAAGGCCAGAUACGAGCUCUGCAGAUCAGUCUCCUCUCCGCUGCUCUCCUCUUCCCUGCUCUCCUCUCUUCCGACAUUGGUGGUAAUCAAAAAUUUCUACAGUUUCUCCUCCGUCGUCCUGCUAAUGGCAUUCUUCCUUCUCAGGUGUUCUGUCUUGUCAAUUUGUAGAACUCGAAAAACAAGUGAAGCGAGGAGACCUGGAGGAGUUCCGGUGAGCUACAUGUUAGUUCUCUUCCUCUCUUCUUCGGGCGCUGUUUCUUUGCAAUAUUCUACACUUCAGUUCAAAACUUUCUCUUAUGUAACUCUCAUCGUCAUGUUGUUUCUUGAACUGAGUGGUUAAUGUUUGGUUUCUAGCGUUGAUUACGGUUAGUUCUUGCUUCGUUUCUUGGUAGAUGCUCACAGGUAACUGAAAUGAAGUUCGAUCUGCUACUUGGUUUUGGAUAACUACAAUUCCUCUCACUUGGUUUAUCAUGCAAUUUAAUUUAUCACGGCAAGCUGCGGUAGUGAUAAAUAUAUACCCACUUCUGAAGCUGUGCAAUUAGAAAAACUGUGGAGGACAAGAAUUUGAUAUGUUCAUCACGUUGUAUUAGCAUAGGGACAAAUAAAGAUGCUGCUGUACAUGUUGUAGGGGGAAGUCUCCUAGGUUCAGUGAUGAAUUAUUGAUCAACACUUUAUUUUGAAAAUUGAUCUUUACAUUAUCUAAAAAUAAUCUUAUUAGAAUUUGCUACAUUCUAGAUUUGAAAUUAUAGACUGAGAUAUUUGACUUUUAGCUUUUAGUAUUAGCAUGUCUUCAUAGUAUGCUAUCAGGAGACAACUAGAAUCCGGUCCUGCUACAGAUAUAGGUGUAGCUGAAGGCAUUGCUCAAUUGUAGUCUUUGCUGGGUAUUACAUUACCCAUGAAGUUGGUGUUCAUAUGCCAAAAAAAAUCCCAUUUAAAUUCAGCUCCCUAUAUAUGAUUGAUUCAUUAUUUCUAUCCUUGGUCCUCCAGGUGCUGCCACUAAAUUAGCUUUGUGUGUCUCCUAGGUUCAGCUAUAAGUUUCAGUUUUAGUUCGAAGCGUUAAAUACUUGAAAUUAACUAGGAGGGUUCAGGUUCAGUUUGAAUUUAAGUUUCACUUUUAUUAUUUGAGUUUUAGGAUUAAGUUUCAGUUUCGUUUUAAUUUUUUCUAAGAAGGGUUGUACACUGUUGGAUGCUCGGUUUGUUUAUACAAGAGAGGGUGAUAUUAAUAGUACGGGGCUGAUGCUCGUGCUUUCUUGUGCUAGCUUCGUUUUCAGCUCAAUAGCUC